GUCUAUGUGAAGUUAUAUAAAGUCUAACCUGCCCAUUGAAUAAUUUAAAAGGCCGCAGUAUAUUAACUGUGCAAAGGUAGCAUAAUCAUUAGUUUUUUAAUUGAAGGCUUGUAUGAAGGGUUGGACAAAGAAUAAUCUGUUUCUAUUUUUUUAUUUGAAUUUAACUUUUAAGUGAAAAGGCUUAAAUAAAUUUGAGGGACGAUAAGACCCUAUAAAUCUUAAUAUUAAAUUAUUUUUAGUUAAUUAAUAUUGUAAAUAUAAUAAUAAAAUAUUAAAUAUUGUGUUGGGGUGAUAAGAAUAUAAAAAAUAACUGUUCUAAAAUUAAAACAAAAUUAUUUGAGAAUAAAUAGAUCCUUUUUAAAGAUUAAAAGUUCAAGUUACUUUAGGGAUAACAGCGUUAUUUUUUUUGAGAGUUCUUAUCGAAAAAAAAGUUUACGACCUCGAUGUUGAAUUAAAAUUUCUUUGUGGUGUAGAUGUUACAAAAGAG
rnacentral:rRNA from 1 species